rnacentral:rRNA from 1 species
GACGAACGCUGGCGGCGUGCUUAAAACAUGCAAGUCGAGCGGAGCGGCGAACGGGUGAGUAACGCGUGCGUAACUGCCACCCUCUCUGGGAUAACCGUUGGAAACGGCUGCUAAUACCGGAUAGUGGGGGAUGACUCGCGGCCUAUCCGCUUGUUGGUGGGGUAGUGGCCUACCAAGGCGACGCCGGGUCGCCGGCCUGAGCGGGCGACCGGCCACAGUGGUCUGAGAUACGGCCCAAAAUCCUACGGUAGGCAGUAGUGGGGAAUAUUGCCCAAUGGGGGAACCCCAGAUGAAGCAGCGCCGCGUGCGUGAUGACGGCCUUCGGGUUGUAAACCGCUUUCAGCCAUGACGCGGUAGUGGCAGAAGAAGCACCGGCUAACUACGUGCCAGCAGCCGCGGUAAUUC